ACAGCUCUGCGAAAGAGAUGGGGAGGGUGGGAGAGGAUGAAAAAGAGCAGGAGAGGGCAGAGGGUCCCCAGCCUACCCAGCUAUGCUUGGCGCCUCUCUGGGCCUCAGUUUCCCCAUCUGCACAAUGACAGUGUUAGACUCUAAAGAGCCUUCUAGGUCUGAAAUAGCCUGCGGCUAUAAUUUUAGAGACCCUGCCCCAAGACCUGGCCACUUCCUAUGGCUGGGCAAGGGGUUCCUCCCCGCCAGCUGGCAGAGAUGAGAGUGUGCCAAACACCCCUGGGCCGGCCCUGCCUCCUAGUUAUCGCCUCCACUCCCAGGCUCCAUUUCUGGGGAGGAUCCAAGAGAAGUUUAACCCCAAUUUCACAGGAGAGACCAACACUCGGAGAAAGGGUGGGACCUACCCAAGACCAAACAGCUCAAACCCUUAAUUAACUCUUGCCUCGCGAGUUCUGGCCUUCUCAGCUGUUUCCAAGGGCAGAGCAAAAUGCGGUAUGCCACCAGGCACGCCCCCACAUCUGGGGCCUCACCCACCAGCUCCAUCCCACCCUCCUCCUAUUUCUGCCACAGUCACCGGGUGUGGCUGUGACCUCAGGCCUGAGCCAUUUAGGCUCAGGGAACAGCUGGAUGUGGGUGUGAGGUCCCCCCAAACUCUUCCUUUGCUUAUUCACUGUAGAACCUCUCUUGGCCUUAAUUUCCUCAUCUCUAAAAUGGAGGUAAUGACACCUGCCCUCCUAGGCUUUCUGGAAGAGUCAUCUGAGAGGGGGACAUGGAGUCUGCUGUAGUAGCAGACACUCUGUAAGUGAUAAAUGCCCUAUUAUUGUGACAACAGUAGCCUAGGAGGCUCAUAUUAUACCCAUUUCUGGGUCUGCAAAUUGGGCUCAACCUCACCAAGACUGGAGGAAGGCUCUAAGCUCCAUCCUCCACCUGCCAAGGCUGAGCUCUGCUCUAAAGACACUUCAUAGGAAGCAAACACGGUGGUACAGGCAUUGGCAGGUGACAAGUCAGACCAGUGAGGCUCAAACUGUGGGACUCUGGUUGAAACCAAGGGGAGGAUAUGAGUAGAAGCAGCCCGUGGCCACCUUGCCUGUCACAUGGAGAGAACCUUCCUGCAAAGAUGCAGCAGAAACAAAGAUGUCAUAGGAGAGAGCACAGCCACAAAUGGAAAGACCAAGCCAGACGACAUCAUUUGAAUUCCUGGAUCCAGCCCUACCUGAAGUCGGAUGUGCCAAGAAUGUUCAGUUAUAUGAGCCUUUUGUGUUUUGGACCUGCAUAGUCCAAUAUAGUGGCCACAAGCCCUACAUGGCUAUUUAAAUUUAACAUUUAGUUAAUUAAAAUUAAAUAAAACUGAAAACAA